rnacentral:snRNA from 14 species
ACACUUCCCUGGCAGGAGAGAUCCCCUUUUCCUUGGCCUCAAAUGACUCGGUGUAGUUCGAGGAGGAAGGCCUGUCCCUUGCGCCGCGGGCAGGCGGGACUUUAUAAUGCCUCCAGCGCCAGGAUCUUGGCUGCACAAUUUAUGGUGAUGGGGAAAUGCUCUUGGGCUUUCCCAAG